AUUAACAUUCUUACCUGUGAUAAGAAUAAUUAGACUGUUUUCUUUAAAAUCUAUAAAAGUCCUAAAUACAUGCUUUUAAAUUGUUUGGGUUUUUUUUUUUUUUUUUUUGCUUUCCUUUAUUUCUUUCUGUUAUUUUUAAGGGAGGCAAAGAAUUUCAUGCUGUAUUACUGUUUUUUGACCUAAAAGCAGUGACCCAAGCAUUGGCUUUGAAGACAGGCGGGGAUAACGUCACCAGCUUUGUGGCUCUGGCUUCCACUUUCUCAUUUGCAAGUGCAAGUGCAUUCACUGAUGGAGGAGAAAUCUAUGCCAUGCAUUAACAUGGCAAGUCCAUUUAAACAGCAAACAUGUAAGAAGUAGUCAAAUCUGAAGUCUCCUUUCAACUAAGCCCCAGGAUGAAUGCUCCUCCCAUUCCUUUUGGC
rnacentral:lncRNA from 1 species